UAGGGAAUCUUCGGCAAUGGACGGAAGUCUGACCGAGCAACGCCGCGUGAGUGAAGAAGGUUUUCGGAUCGUAAAGCUCUGUUGUUAGAGAAGAACGUUUGUAGGAGUGGAAAAUCUACCAAGUGACGGUAACUAACCAGAAAGGGACGGCUAACUACGUGCCAGCAGCCGCGGUAAUACGUAGGUCCCGAGCGUUGUCCGGAUUUAUUGGGCGUAAAGCGAGCGCAGGCGGUUCUUUAAGUCUGAAGUUAAAGGCAGUGGCUUAACCAUUGUACGCUUUGGAAACUGGAGGACUUGAGUGCAGAAGGGGAGAGUGGAAUUCCAUGUGUGACGGUGAAAUGCGUAGAUAUAUGGAGGAACACCGGUGGCGAAAGCGGCUCUCUGGUCUGUAACUGACGCUGAGGCUCGAAAGCGUGGGGAGCAAACAGG
rnacentral:rRNA from 1 species